UCCGAUGCCAAAGUCAGACAAGGAAUAUAGAGAGCAAAGAGACGAAAUGGAAACUAUUGCCGAGCGCAUGCUGAAGGCCAAGCAGGAUGAGAAGGCGAGCAGGUCUGCUCGAG